rnacentral:rRNA from 1 species
GCAGUCGAGGGGCAGCAUUUCAGUUGUGCGUUGCAAACUGGAGAUGGCGACCGGCGCACGGGUGAGUAACACGUGAUCCAACCUGCCGAUAACUCGGGGAUAGCCUUUCGAAAGAAAGAUUAAUACCCGAUGGUAUAAUCAGACCGCAUGGUCUUGUUAUUAAAGAAUUUCGGUUAUCGAUGGGGAUGCGUUCCAUUAGGCAGUUGGUGAGGUAACGGCUCACCAAACCUUCGAUGGAUAGGGGUUCUGAGAGGAAGGUCCCCCACAUUGGAACUGAGACACGGUCCAAACUCCUACGGGAGGCAGCAGUGAGGAAUAUUGGUCAAUGGGCGCAGGCCUGAACCAGCCAAGUAGCGUGAAGGAUGACUGCCCUAUGGGUUGUAAACUUCUUUUAUAUGGGAAUAAAGUUUUCCACGUGUGGAAUUUUGUAUGUACCAUAUGAAUAAGGAUCGGCUAACUCCGUGCCAGCAGCCGCGGUAAUACGGAGGAUCCGAGCGUUAUCCGGAUUUAUUGGGUUUAAAGGGAGCGUAGGUGGACAGUUAAGUCAGUUGUGAAAGUUUGCGGCUCAACCGUAAAAUUGCAGUUGAUACUGGCUGUCUUGAGUACAGUAGAGGUGGGCGGAAUUCGUGGUGUAGCGGUGAAAUGCUUAGAUAUCACGAAGAACUCCGAUUGCGAAGGCAGCUCACUGGACUGCAACUGACACUGAUGCUCGAAAGUGUGGGUAUCAAACAGGAUUAGAUACCCUGGUAGUCCACACAGUAAACGAUGAAUACUCGCUGUUUGCGAUAUACAGUAAGCGGCCAAGCGAAAGCAUUAAGUAUUCCACCUGGGGAGUACGCCGGCAACGGUGAAACUCAAAGGAAUUGACGGGGGCCCGCACAAGCGGAGGAACAUGUGGUUUAAUUCGAUGAUACGCGAGGAACCUUACCCGGGCUUAAAUUGCAUUUGAAUAUAUUGGAAACAGUAUAGCCGUAAGGCAAAUGUGAAGGUGCUGCAUGGUUGUCGUCAGCUCGUGCCGUGAGGUGUCGGCUUAAGUGCCAUAACGAGCGCAACCCUUAUCUUUAGUUACUAACAGGUCAUGCUGAGGACUCUAGAGAGACUGCCGUCGUAAGAUGUGAGGAAGGUGGGGAUGACGUCAAAUCAGCACGGCCCUUACGUCCGGGGCUACACACGUGUUACAAUGGGGGGUACAGAAGGCAGCUACCUGGUGACAGGAUGCUAAUCCCAAAAGCCUCUCUCAGUUCGGAUCGAAGUCUGCAACCCGACUUCGUGAAGCUGGAUUCGCUAGUAAUCGCGCAUCAGCCAUGGCGCGGUGAAUACGUUCCCGGGCCUUGUACACACCGCCCGUCAAGCCAUGAAAGCCGGGGGUACCUGAAGUACGUAACCGCAAGGAGCGUCC